GAAAGGACUGCUACUUUGUUCUACGAAAAUGAUAGAAAAUAUGAAAGAUAUAAAAUUAUUUGUUUCUAGGUUAAAAUGUUAGCCAAUCAAUGGGAAAGGUGAGAGGUCAGGGGCGGGGGCAAAUCCUGCGUAAGGAAAAGUCACGCUCUCUUUCGGCUGCAGGCGAUAUACGGAGAAGAUCACACUGGAGAACUGUAAAGUGGUUAAUGCUACUUUUCGUGUUUAAGUAAUACUUAAUGGUUGUCAGACCGAUAACCUAUCCGUUACUUUGCAUGCGGAAGAAGUCGGUAUCACAUAGAGACAUUUUCAAAACGAAUUAGUCAGAAUAGCUCAGCUAAUAGUAUAGCCUGAAAAGUUAGCAACUCGGUAGCUGGGACUAUGUUAGGCUAACUGACUUCGUCAACAAUGAGUUGCCUCUGAGGAACAAGACUGCGAGACUAACCGGAGGAAGACAGCUUGCUGUUUGAACUGAUACGCGAACUACAGCGUCGCGUGAGCAACUGCGCCACCGAGAGCGCGUGAGCAGGGCUGCAGUGACGGUGCAUGGACCCUCUCUGGGCACGGACAUCCCCAUCAACCUCGUGAGUGAAUUGGUUUGGUUUUGUUGCGCGAUUCGCAUGAAGCGGCCAAUACAGUUUUAAGGCCUCAACGUCCCCAAGCUACGAUUCAGGCCUGCAUCAGGAACAGUGGUGUGUGUGGGGUUUAUAGAAAUUCUGGUGUGCCGGCUUAGACAAAAUUCUUGGUACAAGCCCCUGCACAAACCCAAUGGAUGUCAUAGAAGAUGAUCAUGGUCAGAAAUCAUCAUCGUUGUCGUCAUCGGCAGUUACUCGAGUCAAGUAUGACUGUCUUCCAUGGGGUUAGAAGUUGGUGGAUCUGCAGAUGGCAGGAGAGGCCAAUCUGUAACCUGAAUAUUGGAUUCCUUGUGGAAAUCUAUAACAUUGACCAUACUAAUUACUGUUUUGUGAAGGUGCUGCCAAGAUGACAGACGGUACCUAUAUGUUAACUCCUUUUACACCUGCUGAUGACCGGUUGGCUCCACAGGUUUAAGCAAACAAAUUUUGUGCACCUCAUUGUGUUAAGUAGUGUGAAAGGCUUAGUUUUCUUUUGACCCUACUAUGUCAAAAGAAUCAAAUAUUAAUUUGAUUUGGGAUAUAUUAAUUGUAAUUUCUUGAAUUUCAGAUAACCUCAUUUACCUGAAUGUACAGUCACCAUGCACUUUAAUAGGAACACCUGUACACCUGCACAUUUAUGCAGUUAUCCAGUCAGCCAGUCAUGUGGCAGCAGGUUCAUGUGCCAGUGUCAUGUGACAAGAGCUUCAGUUAAUGUUCACAUGAAACAUCAGAAUGAAGAAAAAAAAAAUGAUGUUUGUGAUUUUGAUCAUGGCAUUAUUGUUGCUACCAGAUGGGCUGGUUUGAGUAUUUCACAUACUGCUGAUCUCCUGGGAAUUCACACACAACAGCCUCAUGAGUUUACACUGAAUGGUUGUAAAAAUUAAAAAAAAUUAAAAAAAAAACAUUAAGUGAGUGGCAGUUCUGUAGGUGGAAAUGCCUUGUUGAUGAGCAAGAUUAGAGGAGAAUGACCAGAAUAAACUGACAGGAAGUCUAUAGUAACUGAAAUAAUCACUCUUUAUAACAAUUAUGAGCAGAAAAAAACGUAUCAGAACACACAACACAUCAAACCUUUAGGUGGAGUGGCUAUACCAGCAGAAGACCACAUCAGGUUCCACUUCUGUCAGUCAGGAUUAUGAAUCUGAGGCUAUCAUGGGUGGACUUGCCCAAACUGGACGAUUGAGGAUUAGAAAAAAAAAUCCCAGUCUUGAGUGUAUAUCAAGAAAAAAAUCAAGAGGAUGCAAGUGGAUGCCGACCACCCUGCAACUCUGAAAAACAAAUCUCCAUGCUAAUAGGCAACCAAUAUGCAGUGAUAGGUAUUCGGUUUGUUUUUGUUGAUAAACUUGUGGUCACAUCCAUUAAAGUACAUAGAUUAUGGAGUAACUAAUCUGAAAUGUAAGUAAAAGUCAAAUAAAAACUCUUGAGACAGUUGAAACAAAUGAUUUGCAUACAGAAAGCAAUUAUACGACACUUUAAAAUUAUGCUUAAAUUUUUAUACUAGUUGGUGCAAAUUCCUAAGAAUAUACAAUGAGAUUAUUCUAGUUAAAAACCCUCUUGGAAUCCACCUUGAAUUAAAUGGUGGGUACACAUUCUCUACAAUAAAUCUGCCCUAGAAGACUGAUGAUAUAAUAGGGAACCAUGAUGAACUUUAAAAUAAUGUGAUAGUAUUUCUCUAACUGAAAAACAAGUGAAAAGGAAGAGUAUGUGGCAUCCGUGUGUGUGUGCAUGUACAGGGCAUUGACUGGGAGCAGGCUGUUUGUUCCAUCUGAAUCACAAAACAACAAGGAACCUGACAGAAAUCAAGUAUUCUGUGUCUGCAGUUCUACUGCUUCCCUAGGAGACCCGAUAGCUAGCGGAAGUGCUGCAGGCAGAUUUCCAGGUAUUAAUAAAGAUGUGUACAGUUCCUGCUGUGGCAUGAGUAUGCUUGGGGAAAAAAGGCAAAUAACAACAAUGAUUUUGCAAGCAAACCUCACAAGAAGAGCUUAAAGGAUCGGUUUUAUAGACCGUGUGCGUUUGCAAAGUGAGUUGAGAAAUAGCUAGCUUGCAAGUAAUCAAAUAAAUAUGAAAAUACUUGUACUCUGACUGUGCUAGCAUACUAAUAUAUGACAGUGUAUGGAGGCAGAAGCUUGGGGCUUCACUUUUGUGUGGUUGUCAAAAUGAAUGAAGUUAAUCCUAUGAGCAACUUGAGAUGCCGCAGUUGCUACAGUCGAUAUUAAACUUAUAAGGAGAGACAUAAUUUCAGGCUACUACUGAGUAGGAAUAUAUGCAUUCAUUCAUUCAUCUUCAGUAACCUGUGAAUCUGGAGACCUUCCCAGGAACACUGGGUGCAUGGUAUAAGUAGAAACAUGUUGGUUUAAAACAUUAAUAACAUUUGAAAAAAACAUCAAUACCUGACUUUAUUAAUACUAGUUUGCAAUGUUGAAAAGUGAUGUCUUGACCAGAUUCCAUCACACAAACAUUUUUGUUAAGCCAAAUCAGGGCUAAGUCUGCCUAGUCUGUGGGAUCAGCAAUAUCUUCAAGUUGUAGACUUUCUGCCUAAGGUUCUUAUGAUAUAUUUAUCAGAUUAGGGCAGAUAUAAAGUAUAUUUAAUGUUUCUAGUACAACAUUGCCCAUCAGUGCUGUCUGUCAUUCAGAGAACAGCAGAGAAGGUCUCGUGAUUGUAAAUUCAUAACAAUUCACAUCAAUCAAACAGUAGUUUGAGAAAAAAAAGUCAUCAUUCAGAGCAGUGGUGCCUGGUGGUUUUUUAAAAUAGGGGAAGGGAACUGCCUGUCAGCAGACAAAGCCAGCAGUACAUGUGCUUUUUCACAGCAAUUUUACUGUACCAAGAAAGAUCAAAGGAUCUGCUUUUUGCUUUCUGACCUCAACUAAAUCAACUUUGGAUGUUUAUCUGCCCUCUAACAUUAGCAGUGUCUGCCAUGUCAUGCUAAAAAGCAGGUAGCUAAAUUCCCUGAAGAGCUAGUGACAGUUAUGAGGUACUGUCCCUUUGAGAGGUCUCCCAAUCAUUGUGUGUAGAAGCCAGGCAUCCGAGCAGGAUAAUCCUGCAUUCAUGAACAGCGUACUGUCCAAUUAAUCUUGAGAUUUGUUUUUUUCUUAUACAAAAAACAUCCAUGAUACAAUUGUUGACUCCCAGCAUAAACAGCACCCUCAGGUGGACUGGAGGAACAAUUUUAUACUAUCUAUAAAAGUGCAUUUAUGAUCACUGUUGCCAGCAUGAUUUUGUCGCUAGAUUUUUAGAUACCUUUUGAAACUUUCAGUCAGGUUCACUCAACUCUCCACCAGUAUGUAAAUCCUAAAUUGCACAAGCUGAUGUUUCUAAUGACGAAAUCACUGAUUAACAUUGUAAUGACCAGUCACUGAUAAGCUUGUUUCACAAUGACCAAUCACUGAUCAACUUUUUUCACAAUGACCAAUCACAGAUCAUCAAGUAAUAGAAGUGAGUUAUUCUAUUCAUUUUGCCAUUUUCUUCAUGUCUCUUUUCUGAGUACUUGCUACCACUGCUUCAUUUUGUCUCAAUUAUUAUUUAAAAAAGUAUAAUAUUUUGUAUAUAUGUAGUUAGAUUCUAUUUAGUAAAUAUGUAGAUAAGUUUGUAAGGCCAUGACAAAAGAUUUCUUCUUUCUUUAAGGAAUAACAUAUAAUUAAUAUUCUCUUUUCUAAAGUCUUCAAAAAUUCUUCCCUCUUCAUAUAACAUAUCUUGAUAUGCAAAUUAUCACACCAUUGCAUGAUCAAUUAAUAUGCAAAUUAGUCCAAUUGACACCAUCUUAACUUCUAACUUAUUUUUGAACAUGCUACUUUCCUCUGAAAAGAGUUGGCAACACUGUUUAUGAUUAUAGUUUUUAGCUCACACUCUACUGAGACAGCUUCAAGAUCUAUGGCCAUUGAAAUAAUUUGUCACAGCACAAUAACAAGACAGGCUUUUAUCACAGCUUUCAAAUCUGUAUGCAUGUCACAAUGCUCUGUUUUCUGCUAAGCUCUCUCGCCUGAUCCUAAUUUAUCAGAAUUGUCAAUCGGGUUCUUUAUGUUUCUUUUGUUCUCUGAACUGUUCAAAUUGUGCAGAAGUCGCUUCUUUCAUAAUAUCCCCAGUGGCCUAUAUCCUAUCUCCAGAUUCUGAUGACGAGGGGUAUUAAAAUUUUGCAAGCAUUUAAUUGGAACAAAGUAACUGUAUGAACACAUUACUCCAAUUGUAUCAUCUCUACACUGGUUACCUGUUAAGCUCUGUAUUGAUUAUACAACUGCUACUCACCUAUAAAGCCCUAAACAUCCAAGCUCCUUUAUAUUUAACCCAUCACAUUACAAUCCUUCACACUCUUUAAUGUCGUAAAACUUGUGAUAAUACAAAGGAUAUCAAAGUCUACCAAAGGAGGUAGAGUGUUUUCACAUUUAGCUCCUAAACUCCGGAAUAGCCUUCCUGAUAAUGUUCGUGGUUCAGACACACUCUCUCAGUUUAAAUCUAGAUUAAAAACAAAAUUGCUAUGAUUGUAAAUUUCUUUAACAUAGCAAUCACAUAACACAUCUCAUAACCUUGCACUACAAUCAUCAGUGAUAAAACAAAAACAAUUGCACAUGGUUAUCUCUGCCUGAAAUUCAAUGAACUGCAGCCACGCUAAUCCUUCUCCAUUUGUUUCCUGUUCCUACCUCAGGAUGCCCAUCCUGAGGUAAUCAUUGAAUGUGCUAGCUCCAGCUCAGAAGCAGCCUCUACAAAGAUUCCAGAUGACAUCAACGCCUGCAAAGACUUUGGAUGAUACCAACACUCUACAAUAGAUAGCAAUGGGAUAGCAGUGGGCCUGAACUGUUCUGCUCUCCGGGCCGGCCUGGACUGUCCUGGUGACCUGCUUCUGGUGUUCUCGUCGCUUGGAGGCCAGUCACUGUUGCUGAGGAUGGCCCCAUAUGGACAGCCUAUCGACACUUGGAAGCCGUGGAGAUGGCAUUGGACUGCAACUGAUGUGAGCAGUUUUGGUGUGGUGUGUUUUUGGGCCCAGGUCUCAAAAGUAAAUGUAAAACUAACUCUCUAAAAUAUGUACUGUGUAAUGACCAGAAUUUCUAAAUGUGAGUAUAAUGUGUGCUGCUAUAUUGCUUAUUUGAUUGUAAGACCUACAAUCUGAAAAGUUUUGUCAUUUCAAGCCUGUCAUGUCAGACCAAAUCAGCAACUCCAUUCCCCAGAAUGCACCACCAACUACAAACAUGGUAGAAGAGGACUACACUUCCCAUACACAUACAUGUUCACCUUCUCCGAAGUUCUAAUCAGAGACGCCUGUUCCCAUUUAUACUCACAAUCACACUACACAUAAAAGAGACUGUUUGAACACUCUUUUUUUAAUUUAUUUAUUUAUUUAUUUAUUUAUUUAUUUAUUUAUUUUACUUUUACGUUUAUGAAUUAGACUCUUCGCCCUGCCCUGUUUAUGCUGUUUGCCUGAUUGCCUGACCUCUACCUGUUCAUGAUUAUUGUCUUCUGCCUUAUCCUUUGGACUUGUUGUUAUUGUUGUUGUUGUUGUUGUUGUUGUUGUAUUAAACUGCCAUACCUGUAUUUGCUUCUGUCUGUGCCUCCAUUACGUGACAAAACCUCAUACCAGGCUACUGGUGCUGUGUUUAUAUAUUCUUCCUCCCUGAUGUAAGAUGUUAAUUCUUACCCAACACAAAUGGGAUUAAUCAGGAUGAAUACAUUGGAGUAGGGUCAUGCAGUUAUUCCAAAUCCAAACUCACAUUUAAAUUUUUAAAGAGGACACUUUAAAUAUUUAAAUAAAUAAAUAAAUAAAAAUAAAAUAAAAUAAAAUAAACUUGGAUUCAUCCUAUACAGGGUGAACAUAAAAUCCCACUAAAAUGACAGAAUUACUGGUAAUCUGUGGGUGUGUGAGAUGUGUCUUGUGAGU
ensembl:lncRNA